rnacentral:rRNA from 1 species
AUUCCAGCUCCAAUAGCAUAUACUAACGUUGCUGCAGUUAAAAAGCUCGUAGUUGAAUUUCUGGUAGACUGGCCGGCGUCUUGGGCCGAAUGGCUCUUGUUUUCGCUGUGCUGGUUGGCCAUGUUGGGUUGCAUUUGUAGCCCUCUUUCACUGUAAAAAAAUUAGAGUGUUUCAAGCAGGACGUAGUCUUGAAUAUGAUAGUAUGGAAUGAUAAGAUACGACUGACCUCGUACUUGUUGGUUUAUGGAGAACAGUAAUGAUGAACAGGGACAGUUGGGGGUAUUUCUAUUUACAUGUCAGAGGUGAAAUUCUUGGAUUUUGGAAAGAGAAACUAAAGCGAAAGCAUUUACCAAGGAUGUUUUCAUUG